AGCUUAGUGGUCAAAGCAUUGGCGCGUAAAGCCAAAGAGCCCGGGUUCGAUUCCCGG
rfam:Agrilus planipennis Contig46789, whole genome shotgun sequence.